GCCGGAAUAGCUCAGUGAGAGAAGACCA
rnacentral:tRNA from 1 species